GUCUAUGGCCACACCACCCUGAACGCACCUGAUCUGGUCUGAUCUCAGAAGCCAAGCAGGGUUGGGCCUGGUUAUACUUGCACGCGAGAGUGAGAGGGUACACCAACGCUAUGGUAG
ensembl:rRNA 5S_rRNA 5S ribosomal RNA